GCUCAGAUUGAACGCUGGCGGCAUGCUUUACACAUGCAAGUCGAACGGCAGCGCGGGGCAACCUGGCGGCGAGUGGCGAACGGGUGAGUAAUAUAUCGGAACGUACCCAAGAGUGGGGGAUAACGUAGCGAAAGUUACGCUAAUACCGCAUACGAUCUAAGGAUGAAAGUGGGGGAUCGCAAGACCUCAUGCUCCUGGAGCGGCCGAUAUCUGAUUAGCUAGUUGGUGAGGUAAAGGCUCACCAAGGCGACGAUCAGUAGCUGGUCUGAGAGGACGACCAGCCACACUGGGACUGAGACACGGCCCAGACUCCUACGGGAGGCAGCAGUGGGGAAUUUUGGACAAUGGGCGCAAGCCUGAUCCAGCAAUGCCGCGUGAGUGAAGAAGGCCUUCGGGUUGUAAAGCUCUUUUGUCAGGGAAGAAACGGCUGA
rnacentral:rRNA from 1 species